CAGGAGAGCUGAGCACUCUGGCGAGACUGCCGCCGACAAGGCGGAGGAAGGUGGGGGAGUGACGUCAAGUCAUCAUGGCCUUUAUGCCCAGGGCUACACACGUGCUACAAUGGCCGGCACAGACGGCAGCUUAGUGGCGACACUUGGCAAAUCCUCUAAAGCCGGUCCCAGUUCGGAUUGCAGUCUGCAACUCGACUGCAUGAAGCCGGAAUCGCUAGUAAUCGCAGAUCAGCCAAGCUGCGGUGAAUACGUUCUCGGGGUUU
rnacentral:rRNA from 1 species